rnacentral:lncRNA from 1 species
ACACCGGAGUCUUCAUACUAUUCAAUACUUUGCUCACCACAGAGGUGGCUGGAGGAGCACCGGUUGGAUAUGUUGAGCCAGAGAGGGGUGAUUGCUCUCCCAUGCAGUUCUUCUUUGGUGAGUGCCAGUCCUUGCCCCUGUUUUUUCAUUUCAUCCCAAAAAGAUCAGGCACGGUUAUGUACUUUUUAUAGAUCUAGACUUAUCAAGGGAUGCUCAUAUUGGAAAAAAAUAUUGCACAGACCUGCAUCGACUCUAACUAGGUUAAUGACAACCGUUAAUCAUGGGGGUUUCACACAGGCCCCAAAAAAUCAAACAUUUGUGAUUGAGCCUGGUCUAGGCAAGAACUUCCCCACGUAUUGAUUAUAGUUCCAGUCUCAUAGAUAAGUCGAGUCAUUCAUAGUGUCAUAUGAGACAUUGUUCGAGAAAAACCCCAAUUGGCAUGUGACAAUGCCGGGCUUUCUUCAGAUACACAUAUUCCAAGCAUACUGCAUAUCUCUUUCUGUAGUCUCUGAUCCAGGGUCCACCUUUUUCGUGUGGCGGGUGCAUGAUUAAGGAUAAGAAAGGCAGAGUGAGACUCAAAACUGAGUCUACUUUCAGGUAAAAAAUUUGCCACAGUCAAUGGGGCCGACUUCUGUUCAUGAUUUAGGUCAAGGAGGUUCACAUUCACAUGUGGAAGUUCUUUUCAUCUCCUUAAUACCCGGAACUCGGUGUGACAAUAAUAUCUUAAGAAAAGUUCCUUAAGCAUUCUAUAUGAUUUGCUAAUUAUGAUUUUAGGUUAUAGAAGCUUUUUAGAGAUCCAACCACUAGGGUACUUACUGAUAAUGAGUAGGAGAGAUUCCCUGGAAGAAGACUUUGGUCUUUGAAGAAUCAACAUUGAGAUCAACCCAUUUGGCCCAUGUGCUCAGCCCCUUGUAAUAAGCACUUAGACGGUCCAUGUCUUUAACCACUCUGCCCCCAUCUUGUAUAUAGUCCCACCUGCAAUUAGAAUUUAUCAUCAUCGAACUUUGGUCUAAUAUCUAUUCAUCUUGUUUAAUGCAUAAGCCCUGGCCUAGAACCAACAAGAAAAUACAGGCACCACAUUAAGAUGAAAGUCAGAAGGAGAAUGCAGAUGAAUAUGAGGGAAGUCGAGGUUAUCAUACGGCUGAGAUUUUCCGGUGUGGGUCCACCAGUGCCAUGAGUU